GUGCAUUGUAGCUUUCCAGUUGACAAUGCCAUUGACCAAGAAAGCGAGGUUGUCAGAAAAGAAAGACGGGAACGAGAGAAAAAGCAAAAUGAGAGAAAGCAACUACUGACAAACUUCUUUUCCAAGAAAGGUAAUAUUGGAUUGUGCUUUACAAAAUGGAGAAAUCAGGCUUUGUAGUGGUGGAAUUCAAAGAUUGAGGAAGCUGUCCAAGUCGUUCUAAAUUCAUGGCUGGAAGAAAACGAAGGGCCACAGGGAAAGUGAAGAAGAGAGAGCUGCCAGACAAGCAGAACUGGUCGAAAUACAGAAUCAGGGAGUUCCCCAAAUCCUACACUGGUUUCAGAUUGUGUCCUGAUGAAGCUGGAUACAAUAAUUGAAAAUCAAAGACAGCACACAUCUCUCCUUCAAAGGCUGCUCAUAUCAGGAAUACAGGAUGAGCUGGAAGAUGUUCUGCCCUCUGCAGCUGAUACAGUAGAGGAACUUAAUAGUCUCUGCUCUAAAGCAACCUCAGAUAAGGAGUUUAGAAGAAAAAUAAUCAUAUACCCAAGUUCUCUUGGGGGUAAUGGGUUAAAAGCCCACACAAGAAAUCUGAUGAAGAAGGUGGCCAGCAACAAAAUGUGGUCCAGGCAUUCAUUUAAAGGACAACGAGGGAAAACUACCACUACAGGAUCUGGAAAUAAUCAACCUCUUCAGAGCCCACCAGAGGCACAAUCAGAAGGUCACAGCCUCUGCAAUUGAAGAUGCUGUUGCUGACUUGUUACGGUACACCUCAAAAGGUGGAGAUAAACACAAGGGCAGUUUCUGAAGCAAGGAAGGAAUAUCUGGCCAUCAAUACUGAUGACGACUCAGAAUGAAAUUUGCACAAAAAGACCUUUAAAAUGUGAUGUCUUAGUAUUUGUUGUAUUUUUAUUAAUGCCAUUUGUUAAAUUAGAAACU